rnacentral:lncRNA from 1 species
UGGAGUGAGGAGCUGGCUGCUUAAGAACUAAAAUGUGGUUUUGGCCUUCAAGCAAUUUGGAUGCUACACUAUCACCUGAACCAUGAUGUACAUUCUGGGCUCUAGCUGAAGGCCUGCUGCUUCUGGUGAGUUGGCAGGAAGUCUUUUAGGCUGAGGGGGAACAUCAGUGCCUGGCAUUAGCCACAUACACUCCUUCCUAAAUCCUCUUGUCUGGCCUAUGGUCUGACAUGCCACAUUGGCACAAACUUAGGAGACGAAGGAGGGCUUUUGCAUGAGCUUUUAGGCCUCCCAGAGCCUCAUUUCAAUGUGUGCUGAGUGUCUAUGGUGAUGCAGGGGACGGCUUGUUGCUUCUGGUUGGAAUCCUGUUGAGAGCUGAGUGUUACCAGAAGUUGUCACUGCUGAUGGAUGUUGCCUGUGUGAGAGGAACUUUAGACUCAGCAAUGAGGAGCAGCCACACAGCCCCUUGCUGGCAGACUUAGUAAAGAACAUAGCUAUGAAAUUCAGGGCAAAAACUGAUGACACAGUGUCUUUUGUUGAGAUAAGAAGAAGAUGAGCCCUUUCACCACUUCUUAAACUAUUGUUUUAUAUGUCUUUGCCUUGAUCUUCUUCAGGAAGAAGGAAAGCUGGGGGACCUGGUGGCUGCCAGACAACUGUUUGCUAGGAGGUACAGCUCCCUAUGGGAUUCAGGCAGAUCCUGGCCACCGUUUGCUGGAGGUCAUUUCUUUGCACGUCCGGCACUUUUCAUUGCUGUCUCUACCAAAUUUGUAUUUAUGUCCUGGGCUUUGCUGUCUGAAGCUCCAAGGAUGCCAGCAAUGGGACUGUGAGGUGAGCUCUUGAUAGAGGCUUUUCUAGGCAGGCCUGGGGUCCCUUGGACAAGUUGCUCCUUGGGAUGGAGAUUCAGGAAGCUGCUGAUGGGGGUGGCUUGUGGGACUGCAUGAGAAGGAGGGCAGUGGUAAGUGCUGACUGCUGGGCCUGGUGUACUUUCCAACUGGGGGUUGGAUGUGCAGUAC